rnacentral:rRNA from 1 species
AUUGAACGCUGGCGGCAUGCUUUACACAUGCAAGUCGAACGGCAGCGGGGAGGAGCUUGCUUCUCUGCCGGCGAGCGGCGAACGGGUGAGUAAUACAUCGGAACGUGUCGAGAAGAGGGGGAUAACCACCCGAAAGGGUGGCUAAUACCGCAUAAAUUCUGAGGAAGAAAGCUGGGGACCUAGGAAUAGGCCUAGCGCUUUUUGAGCGGCCGAUGUCGGAUUAGCUAGUUGGUGAGGUAAAGGCUCACCAAGGCGAAGAUCUGUAGCGGGUCUGAGAGGAUGAUCCGCCACACUGGGACUGAGACACGGCCCAGACUCCUACGGGAGGCAGCAGUGGGGAAUUUUGGACAAUGGGGGCAACCCUGAUCCAGCCAUGCCGCGUGUAUGAAGAAGGCCUUAGGGUUGUAAAGUACUUUUGUUAGGGAAGAAAAGUCAGCUGUGAAUAAUGGCUGAUACUGACGGUACCUAAAGAAUAAGCACCGGCUAACUACGUG